UAGUAAUAUUGAUGGAAUCGGAUUUUUGGAACAUAUUUUCAACUGAGGCUUGGAAUUUAACCCCAGGGAAUAAUUUCACAUAAUCUUUAUUGCGACUCUCCUUCACGGCAUUUUGUAAGAUGUAUAAAAGUACAAAAAUGGGCGCAUAAAUGUUAUUCACAGCCAACGAUAAGAGAAUAAAAGAUUGAGAUUAUCAGAAAGAUGAAAUAGCUGACUCGAAUGUGAUAUCACAGUAAAGAUGACAAGAACUGGUUUAGUAAACGUGAAAAAAGUAAAGAGGGGAAUCACAAAAAGUAAAUAAGCAAUUGAGUGGAGGUAAAUGAAGAAUCCUUGUAAGUAUAAAUUCUUUCUUCCAGAUGACAUUUGCGUUAAGAACCUUGCCUCAACUUGGUGGCAAUUGCAUUGUGAAUGAGAUAAUUUCUGUGUUCUAAAACCGAAAAAGUAAGAUGGAACCUCUCUCGCUCAGUCAGCUAUUUGAUGCUGGGUGUUCCAAUCCAGGGAUAUUCCUGCUCCGUUAUUGUUUCCUCAGCCUCGGAAAUGACCACAGGUUGGUCCAUUUGAGUUGUAAAAGCAACAGCACAUGUUGCAUUGUAAUCUAUACGACUAAGCUUGGACUCGGCAUUAUGCCAUGCCAUGUGGAAAGUGAACGCUCUACCAAUACUAUGGCACGACUGACAGGUGCCGAGGACACACUAUGACACUAUGACAGUGCUUGUUGGCCAUACCUGUGACCACCAGUUCCAUCAUGAGCCGUGAAAUCCCCUCCUUGGAUCAUGAAAUUGGGAAUGAUGCGAUGGAAUGUGGAUCCUGCAUAACCGUAGCCCUUUUCUCCAGUGCAAAGCGCUCGAAAGUUCUCGGUGGUUUUAGGCACGAUAUCGUACUUUAGCUUCACAUCCACCCGUCCCAAAGGCUCUCCAUUCACGUUAAUAUCCAUGGAACAGAAACCUUUCUUCUUCCGACCUUCAGGGACAAAUUAGAAGUAAAAAGGAGUUAUAUUGACAUAUGAUUCAUGAAUCGUAUGUUGUAGGCUAGUCAAAUAUCAUUACCAUUUUCUCCUCGUCUUUUGGUCUUUCGUGCGCUUUGCAUCUUGGUGCCAUCCAGGGAUCCUAAAUUUAGAAGGCAAUCAAAGAGCUGUUAACUAGUAUCUGAGGCAAAAUAUCAUUACUCAUCUGGGAUAUGGCAAUUUUGACAGUCCUAUCAUUUCUAUUUUAGGUUAUUUCUAAAAGCGAGAUACCUUCACAUGAAAUGGAGUCAACCCAAAUUGAUAGUAAUUUUGCAGUUUGUCACACUUUAACACAGACUGACCAGGUUUUUCAAAGUCUCAAAGCUACUUCAGGGGCAUAUUAUCACCCAUCACCCAUCUUGAGCACUUAUUCAGCCAAAUAGUCUUCUGUUCGCUGCAACCUUUG